GGUGAGCGGUGUGCGUGGUGUUGGUCUGCGUUUAGUGCUGCUUCCAGUCUGUGUCUUACAGAAUGUGUGGCAGCGCUCACACCACAUCUGCAGCCACAGAGCCACAGGAGAUCAUAGUACUGGCUUAGUGAUGUCUCUGAGACUGUAUACCACUGGCCAGCCUCCAAUCUCUCCAACAAAG
ensembl:snoRNA SNORA23 small nucleolar RNA, H/ACA box 23